rnacentral:tRNA from 1 species
GGGGGUGUAGCUCAGUUGGUAGAGCAUCGGACUUUUAAUCCGCAGGUCCAGGGUUCGAGUCCCUGCGCCCCUA